rnacentral:rRNA from 1 species
AGUGAACGCUGGCGGUAGGCCUAACACAUGCAAGUCGAACGGCAGCACAGUAAGAGCUUGCUCUUACGGGUGGCGAGUGGCGGACGGGUGAGGAAUACAUCGGAAUCUACUUUUUCGUGGGGGAUAACGUAGGGAAACUUACGCUAAUACCGCAUACGACCUACGAGUGAAAGCAGGGGAUCUUCGGACCUUGCGCGAUUGAAUGAGCCGAUGUCGGAUUAGCUAGUUGGCGGGGUAAAGGCCCACCAAGGCGACGAUCCGUAGCUGGUCUGAGAGGAUGAUCAGCCACACUGGAACUGAGACACGGUCCAGACUCCUACGGGAGGCAGCAGUGGGGAAUAUUGGACAAUGGGCGCAAGCCUGAUCCAGCCAUACCGCGUGGGUGAAGAAGGCCUUCGGGUUGUAAAGCCCUUUUGUUGGGAAAGAAAAGCAGCAGGUUAAUACCCCGCUGUUCUGACGGUACCCAAAGAAUAAGCACCGGCUAACCUCGU